rnacentral:rRNA from 1 species
UACGUAGGGUGCAAGCGUUUGUCCGGAAUUAUUGGGCGUAAAGAGCUCGUAGGCGGCUUGUCGCGUCGACUGUGAAAUCCCGCGGCUCAACUGCGGGUCUGCAGUCGAUACGGGCAGGCUAGAGUUCGGUAGGGGAGACUGGAAUUCCUGGUGUAGCGGUGAAAUGCGCAGAUAUCAGGAGGAACACCGGUGGCGAAGGCGGGUCUCUGGGCCGAUACUGACGCUGAGGAGCGAAAGCGUGGGGAGCGAACAGG